CCUACGGGGCGCAGCAGUGGGGAAUAUUGGGCAAUGGGCGAAAGCCUGACCCAGCAACGCCGCGUGAAGGAAGAAGGCUUUCGGGUUGUAAACUUCUUUUGACAGGGAAGAGCAGAAGACGGUACCUGUCGAAUAAGCCACGGCUAACUACGUGCCAGCAGCCGCGGUAAUACGUAGGUGGCAAGCGUUGUCCGGAUUUACUGGGUGUAAAGGGCGUGUAGCCGGGCUGACAAGUCAGAUGUGAAAUCCGGGGGCUCAACCCCCGAACUGCAUUUGAAACUGUUGGUCUUGAGUAUCGGAGAGGCAGGCGGAAUUCCUAGUGUAGCGGUGAAAUGCGUAGAUAUUAGGAGGAACACCAGUGGCGAAGGGAGCCUGCUGGACGAAAACUGACGGUGAGGCGCGAAAGCGUGGGGAGCAAACAGGAUUAGAUACCCUUGUAGUC
rnacentral:rRNA from 1 species